CACCACCCCACCCCCCAACCGCAGAGGCCGCAGGCAACGCGUUUUGAGGCGCACUCCCGCCCCUCCGGUGCGCCUUAGGAGCCGGACGUAGCGCGUCGGCAGCCUCUCUCCUCAGUGCUGCCCUUAAUAAAGAUGGCCAUGCACUUCCUCUCCCUCAAGCCCUAGCCCGGCCGGUCCCGGCAGCCGCUAGAGGCUCAGCGGCAAGUCCUCGCCGGCUAGGCUGCGGGGGGUCUGCGCGCUCCCGCCGCUUCAGCCCCAGGCGCUCCCCGCCGCCGCAUGGCCGAGGCUGCCGGCUCUCCGCGCCGCUCGGCCGCGGGCAGGUGCGAGGCGAAGGGUGCAGAACCGGCGAGAGCCCGCUGGCGGCUGCUCGGACAGGUUCUGAAGAAAAAGCACUUGAAAGAUGUGCACCUCCAACAAGUAUCUGUAAGAAGGUUCGCAUCGUUCAAUCUGUUUUCAGUAGAAGACCAGAGUACAGAAGAGGAAACUGGGACCUGGGUUCAGUAUAAAAGCAUCUUUUAUCCUGAGUAUAGUGUGUCCUUAAGAUUUCACAACGGACUCUUAAAUGUUAAAGAUGUUCUUACAAGUUUUGACAACACAGGGAACGUCUGUAUUUGGCCUUCUGAAGAAGUGCUGGCUUACUACUGCCUAAAGCACAAUGAAAUAUUCAGGGACCUUGCUGUGUGUGAGCUAGGGGGUGGCAUGACAUGCUUGGCUGGGCUCAUGGUUGCUAUUUCUGCAGAUGUCAAAGAAGUUCUGUUAACUGAUGGAAAUGAAAAGGCCAUCAAAAAUGUAAGUGAGAUCAUCACAAGAAACCAAAAUGCAGGAGUAUUUAAGGCUCAGAAAGUGUCAAGCUGCAUUUUACGAUGGGAUAAUGAGACAGAUGUCUCUCAACUGGAAGGACAUUUUGACAUUGUUAUGUGUGCUGACUGCCUGUUUCUGGACCGGUACAGAGCUAGCCUUGUUGAUGCAAUAAAGAGAUUACUCCAACCCAGUGGAAAAGCAAUGGUAUUUGCUCCACUCCGAGGGAAUACUUUAAACCAGUUUUGCAAUCUAGCUGAAAAAGCUGGUUUCUCUAUCCAAAGACAUGAAAAUUAUGAUGAACACAUUUCGAACUUCCACUCCAAGAAUUAAUAAAUAAGCCCAUCAAGAACUGCAUUACAGCCUUGGAAGUGGCUUGCAACUAUGUAAACCUUCAGUUGAAAAAUGAAGAAAAAGAUACAUAUGAGGAAAACCUCCAUUACCCUUUUCUUCUCAUUUUAAACAAACACAGAUAGAAGAUGACACUUUUGUUUGUUUUAAGGUGGACUACUGAAAAUUAAUCCAUGUAUGUGGAUGGCCAGGGAGUGGGGAGGGUUCAGUUCCCCCCAUUUUGUUCCUGAGUCAUCAUUAGAGAAAUAUUUCUAAUCUAAAUGCUGAGGAAGAUACCGUGACUUGUUUCACGGUGUGUAAACUUUGAGACGUCUUUUUUGUAUCAUUUUAGAACUUAUUUUUCCAGUUAUAUUCCAGCCUAAAACUGAUCAGACUUCACAUGUAUGCAUUAACAAAGGUGUAAAGCUGGCUUCCUUCUCUUUUGUGCCUUUAAACUUGCAUGUACUUUGUUAAUCUCUUUUUAAAUGUUAUUUUUGGGGUGUGUUUGAAAAUAUGUGAAUAAUAUACUUUGUGGGCUUAUAUAACUGGUUGUAAAGUAGUAAAUGCAUUCACAUUUAAUUAGUAAGGAAAUAGUUGUCUUAAGAUCUUUUAAAAGUGCACCUAUUGAAUGCUUGGAUUUUUCUGCCUUUUUUUUUUUUUUUUUAAAUUCCACUGUUGAUUUUUCUGACCAUGAUUGAAAUGUCCUUAUUUGCUUCAGUGUUGAAGGCUUUUUUUAUAUAUGUGUGUAUAUAUGUUUUUUUCCAAGAGGACUUUUCCUCCUGUAGUUGUAUAAGGAAUUAUGCAUCAGACAAAAGCCUCAUAAACUGACCAUUUGUCCUUUGGACACAAUAGCCUGCCCAGCCCCUCUGCUCCUCCUCUCCAAUUAUGUGUGAUUAGUCUCAGUGUGUUGUGUCAAGAAGGGGGAGUGUGCUGAGUGCUUAUUAUCUGUUUAGGUACAAGAAGAGCACAUUUAGGUUCUGACUAUGAAUGGAAAGUGAGCCUUUAUCAGGACUAAAAUCUAAAUGCUAGUAUCCUAGAAAUUGCUUUUUAAAAAAUACAUACUUUUCUGAUAAAUUCUGAGAAACACUUAAUAACUAAAGGAUUUUGUACUGUAAUCAAACUAUCUCCCUUGAAUUAGUUUACACUGUGAUAUAUUGUGGCCCAAGUAUUUGAUAAACAUUUCAUGUGACUUCUUUUACUGGGAGAGACAAAAAUCCUACAAAGAAACAGGAGCAAUUUCUUAUUUUCUUAACAGUUUAAUAGACCAUUUUAAUGACUUCUCAGAAAAACAACCUGGAUCAUUAAAGAAUCCUCUGUAGUCUCUUAAACCACAACACUUUUUAAAUCAUAAAAAAAGAGAGAGAGGCAGAGACCAUGACUAAGAGAGGGAGGUACUAGAUGCAACGAAGUGUAGAGGAUCAUGCUGAAAUACAUUAAUUAAAAGAACUGCAGUUUGGCAAUAAGCGUUCUUCCAUAUUUAACAAAUUGGGCAGCAUAUAAACCACAAGCUCAUGAAAGUUCCUUUCUCUUUGCUCUUCUUCUCAAACAAAUUUCUUCACUACCGGUUUGCAUGUCCUUGUAUUCAAUACUUUUUAUGCUCCAUUAGAGCACCUAGAUGGAUCUCAGAAGGCAUAGGUCAAGUCGCAGUUAGAUCAUACAUUUCUUUCUCACAAAAACUUGAAUUGCAAUGCCAAGUGAUGGGCUAACAUCACAAUAACAGCAAUUUAUUCCUCUUUUGAUAAAAAGCAGCCUAUUCUCAGUGUUAGAUAAAGACCAGGGGCAAUGCAAACCAACCAUUUAUCCUAGAACUGAGUAGUAUGUCUCCCCUAUAGCUGGUAUGAGUUUCAUAUUCAAACUCUUGUUGGAAGAUACUUGUCUAGUAAGAAAUCAAAAACAUUUAGGAGUAAUUUAAAAUUGCUGUGAAGGUGACUUUAGUUUAAUUAGUUUUGUUUUGUUAGUCCCACAGAGCAGUGCCUUUGUUUUCUCUAAAAACAUGUACAAGGAAAUCUUUAUAAUCAACAAAGGAGUGUGAAAAAUAGUGAAAUAUUAAAAUUUGUGAACCUUUUAUUUUUGAGAGGGCUUGAAUGUCUGCUGUACAAUAAUCUAAUAAAGAUUGUUAGUUGCCAAAAAUAGAACCAGUGUCACUGAAAAUUGUGUUUUUAGCUCUAAGAAGAAAACAGUUUUACUCAAAUUAGUAGCUGAUAAUUGCUUUUUAUUUCUUUAGUGUCUGUCGUUUGAGUUGAAGGCUUUGCACAGGUGCUGCCAUCCCUAAAGUGUGUAAUUGACGGCUUGUUUACCAAAGAUGCAUUUAGGCUUCAUCCUGCAAACUCACAUUGGAGCUCCACAGGCAGUAAAGUUACUACUCAUCUACAUAAGUGUUUGCAGGUUUGGUCCGUGUAGAUAUUUUUAGAGGUAUAUAAGCAAGCUCUCUUCUUGAUUUUUUUUUUUUUUAAAUGGGUAUUGAAAAGUCACAGAUGUAGUAUUUACUGUAUAUGAGGCACUAAAAAUGUUCUUUUUUUAGAGACAUCUCUCAGAGUCCCUCGUGUUAGUAGGGACUUGAUGAAUUGUUUCUGAGCUCUUAAAUUUUAAUAAAAAUACAUUGUUUAUCAAUA